CCCUAAACCACCAACAUACUUGCCCACCACCGCUACCAGGACCCCAUCCUAUACAUAUGGGCAAACAACAACAACAGAGAAGCCGAAGUACUGGUUCGAUUGGACAGUAAACGACCAUUAUUCCGGCAACGAAUAUAACAGGGAGGAACACCGUGACGGAGAAAAGACCGAGGGAUUCUACAAGGUUUUGCUUCCUGACACACGAGUCCAGAAAGUCACUUACACUGUCGACGGCGACUCCGGUUUCGUGGCUGAAGUUACUUACGAAGGAGAGGCGAAGGAACCUACACAUGGACACGCUUAUCUGCCUCCUACUCCUCCUACACCUCCUCCUUCCAUCUAUGGCGCUCCUCAUUAUUCUCGAUAAGCUUCCCUCAAUUAUUUAUUACUUAAUAUUCUAGCUUUACCAAAAGUAAUACAUGAAUGGCAGA